CCUUGGGUAUUCAAUGGUGAUUAUCACUUGGGUGUUGAUCAAGUUGUGUUCUUGAUUUUACAAUCAGGAGAGGUAGCAAAUAGGUUUCUCUGUGGCACGCGUGGUGAUGUGGGGAGUUCUGUCGUCCUGGUGUGUAUGGCGUGGGGCAUCCUAUGGACGAGAAACGAUCAACUUUAAACGCCAUUUUUAAUAAUGUUAUGUUUAAUAGGAUUUUUCUUAAAAUUGUCAGUGGGACUUAAACUUUUGUUUGUUUUAGAACUUUGCAUAAAACUGAUAUUUUCUUUUUAAACUUUUGUGCCCAACUUGGAUGUUUUAAGCGAGACCCCACUGAAACCUUUUUAAUAAGUGGCUUUCUAUUAUAAACCAUUGAAAAUAUGAA